rnacentral:rRNA from 1 species
GACGAACGCUGGCGGCGUGCUUAACACAUGCAAGUCGAACGGAAAGGCCCUGCUUUUGUGGGGUGCUCGAGUGGCGAACGGGUGAGUAACACGUGAGUAACCUGCCCUUGACUUUGGGAUAACUUCAGGAAACUGGGGCUAAUACCGGAUAGGAGCUCCUGCUGCAUGGUGGGGGUUGGAAAGUUUCGGCGGUUGGGGAUAGACUCGCGGCUUAUCAGCUUGUUGGUGGGGUAGUGGCUUACCAAGGCUUUGACGGGUAGCCGGCCUGAGAGGGUGACCGGCCACAUUGGGACUGAGAUACGGCCCAGACUCCUACGGGAGGCAGCAGUGGGGAAUAUUGCACAAUGGGCGGAAGCCUGAUGCAGCAACGCCGCGUGCGGGAUGACGGCCUUCGGGUUGUAAACCGCUUUCGCCUGUGACGAAGCGUGAGUGACGGUAAUGGGUAAAGAAGCACCGGCUAACUACGUGCCAGCAGCCGCGGUGAUACGUAGGGUGCGAGCGUUGUCCGGAUUUAUUGGGCGUAAAGGGCUCGUAGGUGGUUGAUCGCGUCGGAAGUGUAAUCUUGGGGCUUAACCCUGAGCGUGCUUUCGAUACGGGUUGACUUGAGGAAGGUAGGGGAGAAUGGAAUUCCUGGUGGAGCGGUGGAAUGCGCAGAUAUCAGGAGGAACACCAGUGGCGAAGGCGGUUCUCUGGGCCUUUCCUGACGCUGAGGAGCGAAAGCGUGGGGAGCGAACAGGCUUAGAUACCCUGGUAGUCCACGCUGUAAACGGUGGGUACUAGGUGUGGGGUCCAUUCCACGGGUUCCGUGCCGUAGCUAACGCUUUAAGUACCCCGCCUGGGGAGUACGGCCGCAAGGCUAAAACUCAAAGGAAUUGACGGGGCCCCGCACAAGCGGCGGAGCAUGCGGAUUAAUUCGAUGCAACGCGUAGAACCUUACCUGGGUUUGACAUGGAUCGGGAGUGCUCAGAGAUGGGUGUGCCUCCUUUGGGGUCGGUUCACAGGUGGUGCAUGCCUGUCGUCAGCUCGUGUCGUGAGAUGUUGGGUUAAGUCCCGCAACGAGCGCAACCCUUGUUCACUGUUGCCAGCACGUUAUGGUGGGGACUCAGUGGAGACCGCCGGGGUCAACUCGGAGGAAGGUGGGGAUGACGUCAGGUCAUCAUGCCCCUUAUGUCCAGGGCUUCACGCAUGCUACAAUGGCUGGUACAGAGAGUGGCGAGCCUGUGAGGGUGAGCGAAUCUCGGAAAGCCGGUCUCAGUUCGGAUUGGGGUCUGCAACUCGACCUCAUGAAGUCGGAGUCGCUAGUAAUCGCAGAUCAGCAACGCUGCGGUGAAUACGUUCCCGGG